ensembl:lncRNA
AGGGGUUACACUGGUAGUAGGAGUCGAGGUGGUGCUGCUUGUCUGCACAGAGGUUGAGCUCGUUGUAGGAGCUGAGGUGGUGCUGCUUGUCUGCACAGAGGUUGGACUGGUUGUCGGAGCUGAGGUUGUGCUGCUUGUCUGCACAGAGAUUGUACUGGUUGUAGGAGCUGAGGCUGUGCUGCUUGUCUGCACAGAGAUUGUACUGGUUGUAGGAGCUGAGGUUGUGCUGCUUCUCUGCACAGGGGUUGUACUGGUUGUAGGAGCCGAGGUGGUGCUGCUUGUGUGCACAGAGGUUGCACUGGAUGUGGCCUCAUGGAAGGUGGUCCCUGUGUGCACAGUGACACUCACACUGGAGGUGCUGGUUACUGUGACAGUCGGGGGAGGGCAGUGUUCUUGGGGCUCGCAGCACAGCACUCUGAUCUGGUAGUUGAGGCACAGCCUGGUCUUGCCCUUCUGGUCCUGGUUCCGACACAGCAGGCCCACGUCCUGGUGGCACUGUACCAGCUGGCCCAGCUCGUGGAUGCUGACCCCGGGGUGGUUCUCGGCUCGGCACUCCACUUUGCUGAUGGAUUCAGGUCGGUGGCAGAUGCUGUCUCCAUUCCUCAUGAUGUUGCCGAAGGUUUCAUUGUCUCCCCCGUGGGGCCCGGGCACUGGGAAGUCCACGUCGAGCCAUUUGGUCCACCUGCACUUUGGCUUGCAGGGGGUGGUCCCUGGAGAGGACUGCUCGUGCGUGCUGGGCGUGCCCCAUCUUGAUGGGGUCACGUGAGGUGAGCUAGCAGUGCU